AAGGACUUUAAGCUGCGGUUAAGCACUGAUUUCCCUUCCUAGGGGCCUAGCGUGAAAUGGGAGGGAACUAGCCAAGAGAGAGGAGGUGUAGCCCAUUUUACAGAUGGGGACACUGAGGCCCGGCAGGAUUCACGUAUGGUAAACUACCCAAGGACAGCAGAGAAGAGGGAAUACAUGCUCCCAGACAGGAUGGGCAAGGAGCCCUAAGUGGGCUUACUAACUGCUCCCCCUAUCUCCCAGGAUUGUUGACAGGACCAGAUGAGACAAUGCAUGUGAAUGCGAAUGAAUCCUAGAGAAUUGAGAAGCCUUUCAAGACACAACGAUGGCUGUGGUCCUGAGAAAACAUGGGAGGAAUCAGACUGGAGCUCUACUAAGAUUUCUUCAAUUAGAGUGCCUCCUAAAGAUAUUGUUUAUGCAAGAUGGAAGACAUAAAGUUAAGACCUGUGGGUGAUAAAGAGCACAGGCUCCGGACGCGCAUGCUCAGUGGCCAUGGCUCACGGGCCCAAAUGCUCCGCGGCAUGUGGGAUCCUCCCGGACCGGGACACGAAGCUGUGUCCCCUGCAUCAGCAGGCGGACUCUCAACCACUGCAUCACCAGAGAAGCCUAUACCCCGAGUGUAAUCAGAUUCCUUUCAUCAACUGCUUCUAAGAGAUUGGGUCAAGAUCUAGGAGCACAAAGGAAGAACUUUACCAGAGAUACUCUGAGAAGGAGGCUGACAAGAUUUUUCUGCUAAUCCACACAACAUUACAGGAAAUUAUAGGACAAGGCUUAUACACCUCAUUGGUGUAAAUCACCUAUACCAGACAACAGCUCAACAGAUUGGUCAACUACUGAAAAUCAAGUGGACAUAAUAAUGCCACCAGCUGAGAUGAUUGUGCAGAUCCUUCUGUAAGAUUUCUUUAGCAUCUGAAUUUAUAUAAAGCUGCCCUGCUCAGACAGAACCCAUCUCAUCUUGGAGGACUAAUAUUCCAAUCCUGUGAACUGUGUCACUGGGAAGUGACAAAUUCCAUGCUGUACCGAACUGGCUCUUAAGAACUAAGACUGCUCUUAGAAGUGAGAGAAAAAGAGACACUGGUUCUCAACAAAUUCCACUGAGGUGUAGACACAUCUUUCCAGUGUGUGAUAGACUUCUAGACUGUUGCUAAAGUUAAUCCUAAUAUUAAUAAUAUCCUACUUAAAUACUUCUCCCUAGUAUUCCUAUUUAAUGUCAGUAGGUUUAUUUAUCAUUUAAUGUACUGAGAAUUUACAAAGUUAAAAUUGUUAACUAGAUCAUUAUUAUUUUGUGGAUAAGAUGUUCUUCCAUUGUUGUUACUAUAUUUUCCUGGAUAUAGAGGCUGAAAACUAAGGGAUAAGUAAGCACAAAGUGUAUUUUUUCAGACUUAAAUCUUAAGUCUAAAGUUAUUUUUGUAAUAAUGAAUUAAUACCCCUGUAAUAUUUAAUGCUGUUGUUUUUUGUUAACUAAUUCUACUAUCUUGCAACAAAGAUGCCUUUAGACAAGUGGUGUUGCCCUGAUUGUAAAGAGCCAUGUCUCCCUACUCUGGCUCUAGGUCAUUGGUUACUACAGACUAGACUUGUUCAAAAUGAUUAUUCAGAAGCUGACCUAGAUCGAAUGUUCAGAGCUAGUUUUUGCCCUCAGUGUCACCACUCAAUUACAGGCCUUACUCAGCCUCCUUUUCCCAUUGAGUGGGCUCCCUCAAAUUUUACCAGGUGGACACAUGAGAAGGCCUUUCAUCCCAUUCACCAAGGCCCUCCACUGGUUAGGAAAAAUAUAUAUCAGUCCAAACUGGUUACAUUUAAUGCUGCAUUGCAUUUUAUUUUGUCCAGGACCAAUAAAGUCUUAGACCACAGGCUUGGCGGUUAUAUUGAAAUGGCAUCUGAAAGAGAAAUAACAUUAACUACAUCUUCAGUUCCUUUAUUGGAUGACUCUGUUCCUGAGGGUUCUGCCACGGAGUACACAGACUUAACGCCAUCAAAUGAUGGCUUUAUUUCUGAGGAGUUUUCAUGGAGAAACCAGACUACUUUUAAAUAGCUCUCUUAUUCUGCUAUCCAGUUAGUUCCAGAUAAGAUCAUUGCCUCUUUCUAUAGUCAUAAGUCUAAUGUUAUGUUUCUAAUUACUGAGGUUAAAAAUGUAAUCCAGGUAUAGUACCUAGAACUCUAUUUAAAAGGUACUAUCACAGUGCUGUCUUAAAUAAUUAUAACUUAACAUGAUAUAAAGUGAAAAGGACAAUAUGCUUUUGUUAACUGCUGUAAAUUUGUUCUUAGAGCUUUCCAAACUAUUUUAAAUAUAGUUUUCUCUGAGUUAUUUUAGGGCUUAAUAUGUGGCUUGUAUACAUCACCUUCACAUAUAUAAACUUAAGUAAAAAGCUUUAUCACUUGGACAUGAUUUAACAUAAUUCUGAUUUGCUUCUUAUAUCCCUGAGGCUUAUUCUCUUAAUGCUAAGCAUAACACUUUGGGACUAGGUAAUUUACAUCUAUUAAAAACCUCACUCAAAUACAAUGGCUUACAAUGAAGAUAGUACAUACCUUAUAGUUGCCUACUUGUAUAAGAUUUUUCCUCAACAGUUCCAAUGUUCAAACCAAGGAAGACGACCAAACAUAUCACAAGUGUAAUAAUUGUGGUAAAAUUUAUGGGAAGCGAAGGGAAAGCAUUUGGACAUAUGAGUGAAUUCCAAAAUAAAAAAUAAUCAUAAUAUUUCUGAUUCUUACAAGUAUGCAGAGGUUUGUUUGGUUUUCUUUGUUUUCUUUAAACUACUGUUUGGAGAAAGAAAUACUUCCCCAUUUCUGUCGCAUUGUAUUUACCCUCAAUAAUUCAACUGUUUACAUACAAAUUUCCAGAAAGUUUUUUAGAAUUUUAUUUUAACCGCAUGGGUGAGGUUUCUUAUAAUGAUCUAAAACAUCAAGAUGUUCUGUAAAAAAGAGCCCAAUGAGAUGUACUAAUAAUACCUGUGU